AACGAACGCUGGCGGCGUGCUUAACACAUGCAAGUCGUACGAGAAAGUCCGCUUCGGUGGAUGAGUAAAGUGGCGCACGGGUGAGUAGCGCGUGGGUAAUCUACCCUCAUGACUGGGAUAACUUCGCGAAAGCGUGGCUAAUACCGGAUGUCGUCUUCGGGACCACGGUCCUGGAGAUGAAAGAUGGGGAUCUUCGGACCUGUCGCGUGAGGAUGAGCUCGCGUACCAUUAGGUCGUUGGCGGGGUAACGGCCCACCAAGGCUACGAUGGUUAGCUGGUCUGAGACGAUGAUCAGCCACACUGGCACUGAAACCCGGGCCAGACUCCUACGGGAGGCAGCAGUGAGGAAUUUUGCGCAAUGGGGGAAACCCUGACGCAGCAACGCCGCGUGAGUGAUGAAGGCCUUCGGGUCGUAAAGCUCUGUCUGGUGGGAAGAAACGUCUGGGGGUAAAUAGCCCUCGGGCCUGACGGUACCGCCGAAGGAAGCACCGGCCAACUCCGUGCCAGCCGCCGCCGUAACAC
rnacentral:rRNA from 1 species